UCAAACUUGGUCAUUUAGAGGAAGUAAAAGUCGUAACAAGGUUUCCGUAGGUGAACCUGCGGAAGGAUCAUUAACACUUUUGUAUUGUAACCAAACACUAUUUACGUUGUUGAACCAAUAUCGCGAGCCAUGCACCCCUCCCUUUCGAGGGCGCGAUGGUAUUCUGCGCUACCGCACGGGUGCAGGGAGCCUUCGGGUUUGCGAGCCUGUGCGGCAUGCCCCAUUCCAAUUCUUUUUUUAAAACACCUGAAGAUUUACAUCGACUGAAGGGCUUUCCGAUCGAUCGAGCACUUUCCUUUUCAUUUCAACAGUGAACAGUGAAAGCGUUCUCGUUCUGGGCCAUUUUCUGUGCUUUUGUCUCUUCGGAGCUAGCCGGAAUCAAACAACAAAAACACAACUCUUAACAGCGGAUAUCUAGGCUCUGGCAUCAAUGAAGAACGCAGC
rnacentral:misc_RNA from 1 species